rnacentral:SRP_RNA from 1 species
GCCGGGCAUGGUGGCGCGUGCCUAGAGUGCCAGGAGGCUAAGGUUGGAGGAUCACUUGAGUCCAGGAGUUCUGGGCUGCAGUGCUCUGUGCCGAUUGGAUUUCUGCACUAAGUUCAGCAUGAAUAUAGUGACGUCCUGGGAGUAGGGGACCACCAGGUUUGCCUAGGGAGGAGUGAACCGGCCCAGGUAGGAAAUGGAGCAGUUCAAAACUCCCAUGUUGAUCAUUUUGGAUUUGAUCUCAGAAUGUCACUCCCAGGUCACGAUGUCCUCAAGAUCUUGUGUUU